rnacentral:lncRNA from 1 species
UUUUUUUUUUUUUUUUUUUUUUUUUUGAGAUGGAAUCUGGCUCUGUUGUCCAGGCUGGAGUGCAGUGGCACCAUCUCAGCUCACUGCAACCUCCACCUUCCAGGUUCAAGCAAUUCUCCUGCCUUGGCCUCCCAAGUAGCUGGGAUUAUAGGCAUGCAACACCAUGCCUGGCCAAUUUUUGUAUUUUUGGUAGAGACGGGGUUUCACCCUGUUGGCCAGGCUGGUCUUGAACUCCUGGCCUCAAGUGAUCCACCCACCUUGGCCUCCCCAAGGGCUGGGAUUAUAGGUGUGAGCCACCAUGCCCAGCUAUGUCACUGCCUCCUUAACUGCCCCAGACACUGCACAUCCACCAAUGGGCUUGAUCCUCCCUGCAAGAUUGCAGAGAAAUAUGUUCAGAUGUUAUUUUCACCACUGCCUGGACAGUUGAGGCAACAGAGGCACAGGGAGGUGGAGUGCCUUUUCCUAGGGUUUCUUUUUAAUUUUUUGAGACAGGGUCUUGCUUUCUUACCCAAGCUGGAGAGCAGUGACACAAUAAUGGCUGACUGCAGCCUCGACCUCCCAGGCUUAGCAAUCCUCCCACCUCAGCCUCCGGAGUAGCUGGGACUACAAUUGUGUGCCACUACACCGAACUAAUUAUUAUUAUUUUUUUUUAGAGAUCAGGUCUUACUGGUUGGUCUUGAACUCCCAGCCUCAAGGAAUCCUCCCACUUUGGCCUCCCAAAGCACUCGGAUUACAAGACUGAGCCGUCUGUGCCCAGCCCCUAGGGUUCCUUGAUUGCCAGUUAAGUGUACCUCAUUAUCCUUGGGUCUUCAAAACAAUGAGAGCUAGACAGGAAAAGAUAAAUAAAUCAUAAUAAGAAAAUAAGAGACAUGUAAAAGUGCUGUGUCAAUUGCUAUUCAUUUAAUAACUAUUUUAGCUUAAUAUGUUGUGGCUUUGAAGCAGUCAUUCAUUAAGCUGAAUUUCUCUGGCCACCUACACACCAUGUGGUCAGGCGCUGUGCUAAGCAGCAGCUAUUCACCCUGAGUGCCCAGUAUAGGCCAGGGUGUGGCCCGUGUGGCUCCGGGUGGGGCCACUCAGUCUGCAGUGUGGAGGGAGUGGACUUGGAGAGAAGAGGGCAUUUGGAGUCAGUUGCCUGGAGUUGGUGAGAACCACAGCCCCCAUGGGGCUCUCUGUUGUCUGCCCCAUGAAGGGUCUUAGUGCUCUGCAGAGUCAUCGUCCCUCCUUACGCUCACACAGCCAGUAUUGCUCUGGGUUCCCGGGAGGCCUCCUGCAGGGCAUAGGACAGUGCCUGCCAACAGAGUCACAGCGAGUCCAGUGAUCAUCUCUUGGUGAUGUAAAAUGGCUCCAGGGGUGACCCGGUGAGUCAACAGUGUAUCCCUCCCCACCAGCCUUCUAACCCAUCAUCUCCCCUACAGGCCACCCACAGUGUGCUAGAAAUGUCUGCUCUUUUUCACUUUUUCCCUAAAGACAGAAAGAAAAAAAGACAAAGAGCUGAAAAAGCACAGGAGCCAGGUAGUGCAGCAGGGCGGUGCCAAUGUGAGAAGCCAGCCAGGGUAGAGGCUCGGCUUGGGAGCAGAGGGCUUCGGGGACAAGGGACAUUCAGACUCAAGGGCAGCGAGCCCCUCUCCUGUGCUGACGUGAGUCUCUCAGACCCCCUUGGCUAGAACUGGAAGGGCCUUUAAACACCAUCUCAUCGAACCUUGGUUUCAAGUCAACUGAU